GCAGGUGUAGUUCAAUGGUAGAACAUUAGCCUUCCAAGCUAAAUACGCGGGUUCGAUUCCCGUCACCUGCUCCA
rnacentral:tRNA from 5 species